AGUGAACGCUGGCGGUAGGCCUAACACAUGCAAGUCGAACGGCAGCACAGUAAGAGCUUGCUCUUACGGGUGGCGAGUGGCGGACGGGUGAGGAAUACAUCGGAAUCUACUUUUUCGUGGGGGAUAACGUAGGGAAACUUACGCUAAUACCGCAUACGACCUACGGGUGAAAGCAGGGGAUCUUCGGGCCUUGCGCGAUUGAAUGAGCCGAUGUCGGAUUAGCUAGUUGGCGGGGUAAAGGCCCACCAAGGCGACGAUCCGUAGCUGGUCCGAGAGGAUGAUCAGCCACACUGGAACUGAGACACGGUCCAGACUCCUACGGGAGGCAGCAGUGGGGAAUAUUGGACAAUGGGCGCAAGCCUGAUCCAGCCAUACCGCGUGGGUGAAGAAGGCCUUCGGGUUGUAAAGCCCUUUUGUUGGGAAAGAAAAGCAGCAGGUUAAUACCCCGCUGUUCUGACGGUACCCAAAGAAUAAGCACCGGCUAACUUCGUG
rnacentral:rRNA from 1 species